CUUAUCAAUAGUACAAGGCUCUUGAUACUAUCGAAUUUUCUAUCGUUGGAUCUAUUCUUUAAUCAUUUUCACCCGUUAGAUUAUACUAUUCAACCAACCACCUACUGAACCCUAGAGACUAAUAUCAUCCUAAUUACAUAUCUUUUCAUUCAACGACUGAAAACUCGAUAGCACCAAGCACUUGGCACUGUCGAUAGUAUAUCAGCAUAAUUCAAAAGAGAUUAAUAGUUAAUUAAGAUAUGCUUAUUUAUGGAAUAUUCGGUGAAUCGUUGUCUUCGAGUUUAUAUAUUGUGUGUGGUUAUCAAAAGCAUUGUUAGUUUACUUAUUAUUCUACACGCUAGCAACACUACAACAGAAUUAGGUUAUAGAGACAUAUGUUUGGGACACUUUUGAGUAAGUGUCCCAUUUAUCCUAAAACUUAAAAAAACAUCUACUAAUGCCUAAAUAUAAAGCCCAAUCCAACCAAAAAUAAAAGAUUACUCUACUCAACCCACCACACCCAGUCCAUUUGGCCCGAUUACAAACAGAAAAGAAAAAAAAAAAAAAAAAAUCAAUUACCAUCUUUUCUUCUCUCUUCACUCAAUCCACUGAAAUUCUAGACGAAGAGCCUUUCCUGUCGUCCUCCUCCGCCACCGCAGCCAACGAGAUAGAGUUUUGGCGGUUGCUAAAUGCUUAAAUAAGUGUUGGUAAAUUAGUAGCACUCUUUUAGGUUAUAGCGACACUCUUUAACUGUCACUAUAUACCUAGCGACCCCACAUAUAGCAAUACUUUUUAAAAGUGUCGGUAAUUUUAGCUAGCAGCACUUUUUUGACAUGUACCUAUAUUUAAAAGUGUCGCUAUAGACCGUUUUUGUUGUAGUGCAAUAUCUCAAAUUUUGUUUGAAAAUUUGGAAUGAUGAUUGAAUUCAGACGUAAAAUUUUAUAAAACUGAUCGAGUUAGUGAAUAGCAAUGACCAUAUUCAACGAAAAUUCUAUAAAUAAAUUGUCCAUUAAACUAUCAAAAGUUAGGGUACAAGAGCCUUUUUUUUUUAUAUCUAAGUUGCAGUAUGUGUUAUAUGCCAUACUUUACGCUGGACUAAAGCAUGUGAUUUAUAGAGGUACAGCGAAUAAUAAAUACAUGCUUCACUUUGUUCUUAGGCAAGCAAAUGCGGUUGUAAACAUCCGCAUCUGCUUAAUAUUCAUCAUCCGUGUUUUUAUUAUAAUGAAAAGAGAGGUUUUACAUGCUCCGUUUCUAUCUCCAAAUUAUAAUUUUUAUUUUAUAAACCUUCAUCCUAAAUACAAAUUGUCAAAAAUGGAAUAUUAUCUAAGCCAAAGAAGGAAAGACCACGACUUAAAAAAGCGAAAAAUGGACAGAUUGGAUCCAUCAAGAUGUCUUUGGAUCGAGUACUUAAUUAAUCACCACGUUUAUAUCCAACUCAUCAUUCUAACGAAUUUGGAGAUCUAUUAUGUUAUUAUAAACUUUAAAUUCUUAUUUAAUUUGAAAAGAUUCUCUCUGUAUUUAAAAUUUAAUCAUUCAAAAUAGAUGACAUCACCACUUGACAGGUCCAUAGAAUUGUGUCAUGUGCAUGUCCUGCUUGUGAGCAUCUCCCACAACAAGAACAGUACUUAAUUACUUUGGCUCUGGUAAGUGGACAUUUAAAAAUUACAACUUGUGAUUCUAAUGCAUCUCCCACAACAAGAACAGUACUUGUUUUGGCUCUGAUAAGCAGAGAUUUACAAUUAAAGUUGUGAUUUUAUUAGAAGAUCAUUAUCUUUUGAAGGUAAAAGUGCUACAAAUUCAGAUAAGGUCUGUGCUUUAGGACCCAAACGCCUUCUUACAAGUGUGAGACAUAAUCUUAUCAUCUCUGAUACUGUAACUAUAAAUACAAUCCAAUUAAAAACAUUAUUAAUUAUAUGGUUGAAAACGUGGCAGCUGUGUUUGCAUAAAGCUCGUUUGACUGCAUGGAGCUGGCAACACUAUAAUCGUAAAUUUUUGCCUGGUUAAUAAUUACUUGCUACUAAAGACUCUGUUAUAUAUUUUGUUAUUUUAUAUACAGUAAGUGAGAUGACUCUCAAAGAAGAUAAAUUUUUAUUUUUUGUUCAAAAGAUAAGAGGAUAGAUAAUUUCACUGUAAGAUAGAAUUAUUUGUUUCUAACUGCUAUAUUUUAUAGCCUAGCAAAACUAUAUUAAUUAUAAAUUAGCACAGACGGGGAUAUUUAGUUGGUCGAAAAAUAUAAAUUACGGUGAGAUAAAUAUGAUUUAUAUUUUCAAUAGUUGAAAUCAAUCUAUGGAAUUAUAAUAACUUCUUAAAUAAAUAAAUAAACAAAGUUGAUAGUAUACUAUAUUUUUCGGAAAAAAAAAAGGGGUAAUAGAGAACGAUUUAAUAUUUUUGGCUUCUGUUGAAUCUUAAAUAGACCCGAACGAAAUGAACUCUAAUAAGAUUCCAACAGAGGAGAACAAUCCAUGGCAGUGAUUCUUGUCUCACCGCCAGGUUCAUCUCGGUUUUUUUGAAAAAUAAAAAAUAAAAAAAUAAAAAACCAAACCUCAAAAAAUAAAAAAAUUAAAAAUGCUUAGUCAGUGAGGUGGGCCCCACGAUCCCACCGUGCCCCACCGCAUCCCACGUGGAGUGCACGUGUUCCGCUUCUCCGGGCCCCACAGCGAGGGAGGGCUGCCCCCACCCCGAGUCCCGAGUCCCGAGUCCCGAGUCCCGAGUCCCCACCGUCCGAGCUCGCGCCCACCAUCUGUCAGUGUCUGCAGCAGAUGCCGCUGCGCCGUGUCUCCACCUUAUUCAAUUCGAUUCUCUCUUUUGUGACCACCAUCCGGUCUGCUGAAUAUCUCUUGCUCUUGCUCUCGCUCUCGCUCUCUUGCUCACACCCCCUCAACUUUCCUCUUUUUACUUUUUACUAAUUAUUAAUUAAUAAUUCCUAAUAAAUAAAUAAAAAUUAAUAAUAAUAAUAUAUAAUUUAUCCGCAGUUUUGACCGCUUAUCACGGCGUAAAGCGAGAGAACGCGCCGAGAGUAACGCACGCAAUUGGCCUGCUUCUUCCUCUAUCUCUUCUCGCCCCUUUGACAUUUCUCCAAAGUCAAGUGGGAUACCCAAAACCGGGCGGUUUUUUAAAUCUCUCUCUCCUCGCUCCAACUCUUUUUAUAGCCUUUUUUUUAGAGGAGGAUCCAAUGCCCACCCCCACCACCAUUACCCACCAGACCCUCUCUCUCCUCCCCCCUCUCUCUCUCUCUCUCAUCCUCCUUUUCCUUUUCCUCUCUCUCUCUCUCUCUCUGUCUCCCUCUUAAAAAAAGUCAGCGCCGCUCCCUUUUCUCUCCCUCCUCCUCCUCCUCCUCCUCUCUCACCUUCUCCGUCGUAGUAGUAGUAGUAGUAGAAGAAGAAGGGAGAAGAGAUCAUGCGUAGGUAAGCCCCACCGCGGCGAGCCUCUGGCGACUUCAAAAAACCUGGCGUUUUUCAUGGACAUGGAGGAGGACGGGAACAACUGGGAUCUACAAGCGGUGGUGAGAGGGUGCAGGUUCUCCGGCGGGGCUGCUGCUGCGGCGGCGGAUCCGUUCUCGUCGUUCCCUGCGCCGGCGGCGGCGGAGGUGAAGUUGGGGGAGGAGGCGAUGGUCGGGGGAGGAGGAGGAGGAGGAGAUGGGUUUCUUUCUCCGGAUCUGUUGUUGGCGGGGAGGAGUCGGAGUGGGCUCGAGGAGCUCCAGGAGCUCUAUAUGGCCUUCUUCCCCAAACAAUCCCAACAACAGCAGCAGCAGCAGCAGAAGGGCGGUGGUGGCGGUGGGACCCUUCACCAACCUCACCCUCCGCCUCUCCCCUCGUCCCCCUCCUCCUCAUCUGGCGCCGCCGUGGGCGUGUCAGCUGUGGCAUCGGGUGGGGCCCACCACCCCCUGCAGCAGCAGCAGCAGCAGCAGCAGCAGCGGCAGCAGCAGCAGUAAGCAGUAGUGGAUAGGUAGAGGUAGGUUGAGUAAUUGUUGAUGGCUGGCACAGGUGUACCAUAUGUAAAGGAAGAAGCAGCAGCAAAAGAAAAAGUUAAAACGUGGCAAAAGAGAAAGUUGAUGUUGCCUUUACUAGGGUUUCUACUAGAAAUUUCCUCUUUUGUUCAAUUUAGGGCAUAGUUGAUAGUUUUUGGGGGUUUUAAUUAGGGGUGNUUUUACUUUUUUUUUUUAACCUUGUUUUAGGAAAUUAGGAAUCACUAUUUAGGGCCAGCGGCCAUGUUAAGUAAAUAAGGGUUUUGGAUUAAUUGGUUGAUUGGUUGGCUUGGGUGGCUGCAGGAAGAACCAGCAGAAGCGGGUGGUGUGCCACGUCCCGGCGGACGGGGUUUCGUCCGACAUGUGGGCUUGGCGCAAGUACGGCCAGAAACCCAUCAAGGGCUCUCCCUACCCUCGGUAUGUUAUUAAUUAAUUGUUAUUCAUUUAUCAAAAAAAAAAAAAAGAACUCUCCUGUUUUCAAUUUUAAUAUCCAAAGUACGCAUUUCAACUGUUGUAUAUCUAUUGUAUUGUAGGGGAAAAAAAAAAAAAUUUGAAAAAAAAAAUUCAAUUACUUUGUAGUGCUGCAGAGGCGCAAGCAAAAACAUCGAACUGCUUUCGGAUUUUUCUUUUUUCUUUNGCGGCCCUCCUCCGCCGCCAACUCCUCCCUCCUCCGCCGCCGCCGCCGCCGCGGGGCUCUCCCCCACCACCCCGCUCACCGCCUCCAUGGAGGACGAGCUCGUCCCCCGCCGCCUCCGCCGCCGCGCGCGGCGGCGCAAGGCGGAGGACGAGGAGGAGGAGGACGCGGAGGAGGAGGAAGAGGAGGAGGAGGAGGAAGACGACGGCGAGGAGGGGAUGCUGCUUGUGGAGGACAUGGAGGUGGUGGGCGAGGACGAGCUCCUCUUCGUGAGCCCCUCCUCCAACAACAAUGGCGGCCCCUCCGCCGCCUCCCUCGCGGCGUUCUUCGACGACGACGACGGCGAGGGCGGGUUGGGGCCGCCGUUCUUUAACCCGACGUGGGCCGUCAACAACACGACCACCGCAGCGGGCGGGAGUUGACCAUCCCCCCCCUCGCGCGCGCGCUCCUCUGUUCCUUCCGUUUCCGACAUGAAGCAACAACACAUACACACACACACACCAGAGAAAGCGAACGAGAGAGAGAGAGAGAGAGAGAGAGAGAGAAGAGGAGGGGAUUGGAUUAGAGAACAGAGAGUGGAAGCGGAAGUGGAAGAGAGCAUCUGAUCCGUCCGUUUAUUUUAUUNGAAUCAACAACACAUACACACACACACACACACCAGAGAAAGCGAACGAGAGAGAGAGAGAGAGAGAGAGAGAGAGAAAGAGAAGAGGAGGGGAUUGGAUUAGAGAAGAGAGAGUGGAAGCGGAAGUGGAAGAGAGCAUCUGAUCCGUCCGUUUAUUUUAUUUGAAAAAAGAAUCUCCACCCUUCGCUCCUCACCUAACUUUUGUCUUCGGUUUUGGUAUAGAAUCGAAAUGCCGUGUGUACAGAAAUGGCAAAAAAAGAAAAAGAAAAAAAAAAGUAAUUAGAAGAAAAGGUAUUUAAGCCGAAAUUUGAACUGCAUGAUUUGGAUGCUUCUUUUUUUUUUUCUUUUCCUCCUUAAAAACUAAAAUUAAGGGAUGGUGAUGUACUACUGUUCUAUAAAAGAAAAAGGAAAAGAAAAAGGAAAGAUACUGAUGUAAUUUUCUUGACCUUUCGAGGUUUUUCCUUUUAUCUUUUCUUGUAUGCUAAUGUUGAGAGUUGCAAUGUGAAUGAUUUCUCUGUAUUGCGGUGAUUCCGUUUAUUUAUUUAUUUUUUCUAGUGCUUUCCUUAUCAAGUUUCCUUAAUUAUUUUUUUAUUCUUUAGAAGAAUAAUAAAAUUAUUAAGAUCAUACAAAUGUGGCCUUGUAAUGAUACAAGAUUGACCGUCGUAGUCCGUUAGCUUUCCAGCUCAAAUACAUCUUACGUGUAAGUUAAUAUAAAAUAAUUAUUUAUUUCUAUUUACAAAUUUAAAAAUAUGUAAAUUUUUUUUUAUAUUUUACAUUCAAUUUUACUAAACUAUUUACUUCGCUUAUUUUUUCAAAAUUAAGUUUACUUAAAAAUAUAAAGCAAUAAGGUUCAAAUCAUCAAAUUCUUAACCAAUGUUCGGCUUUAUUAAAUAUUUAAUAAUAAUAAUAUUUGAUAAAUAUGUCCAACUUUAAUUUAAAUAUUAAAUAAUAAUAUUUCACCGGUUCAAUCCCUUCUCACUUCUUUUUGGGAUGCUCUGCAUGGAUCCCAUGAGAGGGUCUAGAGAGAGAACAAUGUAGAGAGAGAAAGUCAACGCGCUUUGGUUGUGGACCGCAUGGGUGGUUGUGUAGAGAGGGAGAGUCAACGCGGUUUGGUGGAGAGGAGAUUAAUUAAUUAAUUAAUUAAUUAAUUAAAACCGUUUAUAAGACUCCUCGUUUGUUUGUUUGCGAGUUAAGUGAGCUCCCCAUCCUCGUGACUUUUUUUUUUUUUUAAUCCUUGAACGAUUAUUUUAAUUUACUGAUAUUACAAUUUACAAAUCACAUAUUAGGGUAAAAAUAUAUGAAGAUUCCCUCACCCGUCCUAACUUUUUUAAAUGUACCACUAUAGGAUCUGUUAGAAAAAUAUAACGAACCAUAAGUAAAACACUUAACCUCGGUUAGUGAAAGAAAUAAAUUGACUUUUUUGUUCUCUUAUAUUAUUAUUUAGGGUAGAAAAAAAGAGUAUCACAAUUGGAGAUUUUUAGAGAACAUUUCUGUAUAAUUCUAACAGCUGCAGGAUUUUUUAAAAAAAUAUAAUAUUUGUGAUGAUAAAAAUAUUAUUUUAGUUAUCUUCUGUUAAAAAAUAAAUAGCACUCUAACGGUAACAAAUCAGAAAAAUAAAAAUAAAUAUCAGAAAAAAAAAAUUUAUUUACUAUUUGAAGCUCUAACUAAAAUAAAAAUAAAAUGGUGUGUAAUUACUGGAAGGGUGGGGGUGACAGUUGUUGUCGGCAUGGACGUAGUAGGUCUCGGCAGUUUUACGCGAGGGGGACCGCGCGUGGCCCAGCCUCAACGUAUGCGUCGACGACACAGCAAGCGAAUGGACAAGGACGGAGCGGAUGCGCAAAAGCGCGAAGACACGCUCUCACCCCUCUCCAUUUUGACAGCGCACUGUACAUAAAUAAUAUAUUAUAGAGUGUUGUUAGGACCUUUUUAUUUGUUAGCCUAAGGUUUUGGGAAUUUUGCUUCUGCUUUUAGUAGUAGCAAUUUUAAUUAAUAUAAAAAUAUACUUCCAUUAACGGCAUCAUUACUAUAUUAUUAUGCAUAAUGUAAUAUUCCUUAUGUAAGUAAAUAAAUUAUUUUUUUCUUGUAGUUUCGCAUAGCAUAUAAUACAAUCUCUUUUAUUACGGUUGUAAACGGAGCUCUGAGCCUGAAUAGAAUUUUAUUUAUGAUUCGAGUUUGGCUUUUAGGGGAUGUUUGGUUGAACGCAUUUACAAUUGCGCUGCAGUUACAAAUGCAUGCAAUCUCAAUUUCUGUGUUUGGUUUAAUGCAGUUGAAUACAACUGCUAUAGUUACAACUGCACAAGAAGGUCCAUAUGUUGUAGUUAGAACUACAUCCAAAUUGGCUGCAGUUCCAACUGCAGCAAUUGACGAGGAAUAGGAUCACCCACAAAUUAACAAUAAUAAAUAAAUAAAUAAAUAAUAUAUAUAGAUAAAUAAAAAUAUUUGUAAAUAAACUCAUACUAAUAAAAUCUUUUAGGCGACACAAGUUUUGAGCAAAAAAUUAAAUAUUUUUAAAUUUAUUUUAUUCAAAAUAUAAAAAAUAUUUUUGUUUUCUAAAUUUUCAUAGAAUAUGAUUGUGUAUGUCAACUUAAUAAGUUUUAAUUAAUUAUAAUUUUAAAUUUGAUUAAAAAAAAUGAGAGAAUUGUUUAAAUUUUUAAAAUUUGAUUUACAUAUUAAAAUUAAAUAAUUAAAAAUUUUAAAUGUUUCGAUUGAUAAGUCAAAGAAUUAUUAAAAAAUAUAAAAAAAAUUAUAUAUAUCCACUUAUUUAUUUAUAAAUAGUAAAUUUGAAUGAUUCAUAAAAUUAUAUAAUUAUUUUAUNAUAUAUCCACUUAUUUAUUUAUAAAUAGUAAAUUUGAAUGAUUCAUAAAAUUAUAUAAUUAUUUUAUGUAUAGUGAAGGUAAUCUCACCACUCUAUCUAAAGAGGUGAUAAGAUUCACAAAUGUAACUAUCAAUUUCAAAUUAUCAAACAGAAGAAAUACAGCUGCAACAGUUGCAUCUACACAAAAUUAAACAAACUAUAUGUAAUUAUAUACAACUGUUACAUUUUCAACUGCAUACAUUUUUAACUACACUGUGUAUUUAUAAUUACAUCCAACCAAACGACCCCUUAUAUGCAUUAUCUGUGCCUUUUCAUGCAUCAUCAGCAGUUGGAUCGGGCAGGUCCAAACAACUCUAGCUACACAAUGAAAAAUUGAUUCAAGCAAGCAAAAGUAUUAGAGCCUGUUUGGGCUCAAUUUACACUUUUUUAUUCUUUUACAGCUAGCUAUUUUAGUAGAAUAUUUAAGAAAAAGAAGGUCUUAAAAUUUUACUGCAAUAGAAAUUUGUUUGUAGCUCCAUUGAUUGUUUUUUGUUAGGCUAUUUGAGCACCAAUGGGCAAAUAUAAUAAUUGAUAGGUCCACUCAAAUCAUUGUACUAUAUAUCCGUGCUUACGUGCAUGACCGAUUGGACCUAACACAGUAACAUAUGUAGGUAGCAUUUGCAGAAAAUGUAACUAAUCGUUCUUCGCGCAAGUAGUAAAAAAUUUAAUAGUUAAUAUUCGAGAUUUCAAGUUUGAAUUCUAAUUGAUUCAUAUUUUCAACUAAGUUUAUUUUUUAAAAAAAUAAACGAAACGGAUAGUAUGUUACCUUUCUUUCAAAAAAGCAUUUGCAGAAAAUAUUUAGUGAAAAAUCCUAUUAUAAGUUAAGGUAUAAAUUUGAUGAACAUAUAAUAUAAUGCUUGCUUUUUAGAUGGAAAAAGAAUGUGUGUUGAAGCGAUUGCGGCUCUUUUCUUUAAUUCGAAUUGUAUAAGAAAUCCAUUAUAUAUCCUAUUAAUUUGUAUAACUUCUUUUUUAAUAAUAUAAAUCAUACUAUAGAGAUCUUUUUCUCAUGUGCUUCAGAGUAUAUGAUUUUUUGAGAUUCAAUUGUGGAUUAUAACAAUAAUUGGAAGUUUCGUGCAAAUAUUUUUACUCGAGAUAUAUCUAAAUUUAUCAAGCCCACGAUGAAAUCACAUCUUUUAAUUUUUCAAAAUUUGUUCAUAGACUUUCAUUGAAAAUGUAAAGCGUGAUCAUAAGUACACACGAUGCACAUAUUGUUCCCUAAUGAUAUAAUUUGGUUGCGUAAUUUAAAAGAUGAACGGAUGGGUUAGGUGAGAAUUGCUAUACAUACAAACACAUCCAGAGAUACCUUUAUGCUAUUCUUCAAUUAAUAUAUUUGUUGUACACCAUCCGUCCAACUUGGCGCGUCUAGAUCAUGAAAUUUGAUUUCUCUAACAAAAAUAGCAAUUUUGAUUUCGAGACAUUUUAAGUGGUAAUUUAGAGAUUUCAUUAUUGAAAGCAAAUCGAUGGUAACGAAAUCUGCAUAUACAUAUAUAUAUAUAUAUAUAUAAUAUAUAUAUAUAAGAGAGAGAGAGAGAGAGAGAGAGAGAGAGAGAGAGAGAGAGAGCAGGAGAGAGAGAGAGUCCGGCUACGUACUAUCGUAGCACGGAGCCUCCGUGCUACCAAAUUGUUUUCGAUGAUGCGGCUUCCAAAUCGACGAUCGGCUCCGUAGACUUGAAUCUACACUAUUAAAAGUACUUUGGAAACUAAAUUUCAUAAUUUUUCGAUAUCAUUUAUCUAUUAAAACAAAUAGUCUAAAAUUGAACGCUCAAAAUAAAAUCUCAUAAAAAAUGAUGAUAAAAGAUUUAAAUUCAAGAUCAGAUAUACUGAUCUUAUUCUAAAUAGUGAAAAGAAUUUUCUAUAAAAAUUUUCAUCGGAUUUGGAUUGUUUUACACGCUUAAACUCACAAACACGCCACAUCGGCCAUUAAAUGGUCAAUUUUUGAGCUUUUGAUCACUAGUCAAAAUGAUGUCGAACAAUUAUGAAUUUAAUUUUCAAAUAUUUUUAAUAGUGUAGAUCAAGUCUAACGGAGCCGAUCGUGCGAUUUGGAAGCCGCAUCAUCAAAAACAACUUGGUAGACGGGAGGCCCCGGCUACGAUAAUAUAGCGCUGACUAUAUUAUAUAUAUAUAUAUAUACUAUAUAUAUAUAUAUAUAUAUAUAUAUAUAUAUAUAUAUAUAUAUAUCCAGCUACUAUACUCUUAUGAGUGAGUACGAUCGCCUUCGUACUCAUAAGUCGUUUUCGAUAAUAGAGCUUCCGAAUCGACAAUUCAUAUCGUUAAACGUUAUCUAGAGCAUUUAAAACUUUUAGAAAUCAAAUUUAUAAUUUUUGAACAUCAUUUAUCUUACGAUCAAAAGGUCACAAAACUGAUAAUUUUUAACAGCCAGUAUGAGAUAUUUGCUAGUUUAACGGUGUAAAAGAAUCGGAAUCAGUUGAAUUUUUGAUAGAAAAUUUUAUUCACUACCUAGAUAAAGAUCAAUAACUCCGAUCUUAAAUUGAAGGAUCCAAUCAUCCAUUUUUAGGAUGUCGUUCAAUUUCGAUCAUUCAUUUUAUGCCUUGAUGGACUUUAUUAUGAUUUCGAAAAAUUACGAAAUUUAUUUUCUAGAAGUUUCAAAUACUCUAGAUCAAUAUUUAACGGAGUGAAUCGUCGAUUCGGAAAUCCCAUCAUAAAAAACAACUUAUUAUUACGAAGGGCCCAAUACUCAAAGGCCCCGUUUGGUUCGGGGGAUAAGCGGGGAUAACGAAAGUUAUCCCCGCUAUUCCGCCAAACGGAGUCAUUUUUUACCGGGAUAUUUUAUUCCGGUCAAAGCUUGCUAUUCCCGGUUAUUCCGGAAUAGCAAGCUUUUUACUAUUCCACCAUUUUGGCGGAAUAGUGCUAUUCCCAUGCUUAAUUUCAAACUUAAUUAAAAUUAUAAAAUAAAUUAAAACUAAAUUAUAUAAAUAUAAUAUAUUAUAUAUUAUAAUACAUUAUUUUUAUUAUAAAAUUAUUAAUUGUGCUAUAUUAAUACAUAUUAUUUAUAUUUAAAUAUUAUAAUAAAUUUUAUAAUAAAUUAUAUUUAAAUAUUAAAAUAAAUUAAAAUUUAAAAUUUAAAUAAAUUUAAAAUUUAAAAUAUUAUAAUAAAUUAUAUUUAAAAUUUAAAAUUUGUAAUCUCAAAAUUAAAGUUUAUAAUUUUAAAUUCCACAUUUUAAAUUUUAAAUUUAAAUUUUGAAAUUUUAAAUUUUUGAAAUUUUAAAUUUGAAUUUUAUUUUUUUUCAAAUUUAAAUUUGAUCUUAAAUUUAAAGUUAGAAAUUUAAAAUUUAAAUUUUGAAUUUAAAAUUUGAGAUUUUAAAUUUUAAAUUUUAAUUUCAAAAUUUGAAAUUUAAAAGUUAAAAUUUUAAAUUUUAAAAUAUAAAUAUAAAAUAUAAAAAUUUAAAUUCUAAUAUAAAUAAAAAAGUGAUAAUAUUAUUAAUUUUUAUUUAUAAUUAUCCACUUUAAAUCUUACUCCAUCUUAUCUAACCAAACGUUAUUUUUCUUAUUCAUAGGAAUAAUCCAAUUUUUAUCCAAACAUAAAAUUGAUCUAAUCCCCGCUUAUACCUCAAUUUAUACCUAUCCCUGGAAUACCCACUUUUUGCUUAUCCCCGAACCAAACGAUACCAAAAAGUAUAAUAACCCUACUCUCUCUCUCUCUCUCUCUCUCUCUCUCUCUCUCUCUCUCUCUCUCUAUAUAUAUAUAUGCUAUUGUACUAUUAAAAGUAAAGCAGUUCUUAUUUUCUUAACUUUCUAAAUAUUCAUCAAUUUUGAUGGAUAGUUAGAAUAAAAGAAAAAAGAGAAAUUGAAAAGAAAUUAAUGAUAUGGUUAGAAAGUUAAGACCAUAAGCUCCUAGUAUCACAAUAGCCCUGCUCUCUCUCUCUCUAUAUAUAAUCGAAGCCCUUCUCUCUCUCUCUCUCUCUCUCUGGCAGUCCAAGAGGUGAAGCCCACCGCGGUCCUCGUGGACCGCGUGCAAAAAGUCAAGUAGCCGCCCUGUGUUUUUUACCGUAGAUUUUCGUUUUCUGCUCUAAAAAUCCAAAAUUUUCAGUGUAUUUGUAGAAAAAAUUUUCCGAAUUUUUUUUUACAGACAACCAAACAUCAAAUAAUUGUCUUUCAACUGAAAAUUAAUUUUCGAAGUAGUUUUUGAGGAAACUAAACACACCCUUACCUUCAACACCGUAUUAUCGGAAGGAUCCAUGGAACUAAAAACUGUAUAGGAAUAGUUUUCAUUCAUAACACUUAUUGCAUUUUGAACAAGUAAUAGAUAGAUAAAUUGCGGCACCCGUUGAUUCUACACCUGCCCAAAUUUUGAGAAGAGGACGACAAGUUGCGCAGUCCGGAUUAGUGCUUUUACUACAGUUGUUUGUUUUCCGAUCCAACGGCUGCAAAAGUCAGAACCGUUGACAUCACCAGUACUGGGCACUCUUAGUCAGUCUUUGUUAAUAAUGUUGCCGUACAUAUUAGACCAUUAAUAUAAAAUUACUGAAAAAAAAUCUAUUUUUAAUAUCUAAUUAAAUGAAGAUCAUAUGAGUUGAACACAGCUCCAUGUUCAAUGCAUUUGGAAUUCGUGGGCUUAAUUUUCCAACUUAUGAUAGUACUCCAUCCUUACACGGAGAAGUCAAACGAUCCCAUUCAUACGUAGUCAACAAAAGAAGCUGGAGCAGUAGUGGAAAAUCUACUGCAAUAUUCCUACAUGGAAUGGCUUUUGAAACAACUUUUCUAUGCAGAGAAGUGACAGCCAAUUAAUUAGCAAACAACGUGUUUAAGCCUUUGCUGUGAAUAAACCAAACUAAGCUUUUGAAGCACAAAAGCAGGAACUACAAUUUAAACAAUCUAAAUUUGUUGCAACAAUAAGUUGCAAAUGAUAUUAUACAAAAAUAUCUACCUGUGUUUCUUCAAACAACUCUAAUCAAAUGGGAGUUCCAUGAAAACUCCAUUAAGGUCAAACAGAUCCUCACCAUUUACCCAGACUUCUGGGCUGUACAUUUCACUGGAAUGUGGCCUAUCCAUAAAUAACAAAAAGAAACAUCACAAGUGUUGAAUCCACAAUUUUAAGGGGAUUGAGAAAUGUUAGAUACAGAAACUUUCAUGAAAAUGAAUAAAUAAGCAAAAAGAACAUCCUUUCAUCAAUCAAACUAACAUAACUCCUGCCACUACAAUUGUACAUAAAUACGGUCAGACCCCCUCAAACUGCUUAUCUACAACCAAAAGAAUACUGAUGCCAACCUUUAUAUACAUGCGACAUAACUUAAUUAUCAGGGGGCAUUGAUAUUUGUCCCUCUUAUGUACGUACUUAUAUAGAUAGUUGUUGGCUUAAAACACACUGGAGCCAGAGUUGUCGAAGCAGAGAGAUCCAUGUGCAAUGCUGGAGAAAACUUUGUACAAAAUGCAUGAUGUAUUUGCUUUUGCUCGUUUAUUAUUUCAUCCCUUUUCCUGCAUUUGUUUCACGCCUUUCUGUCGUCAUAGGCACUGGAUGAGGGAGUCAUCCAUCAUUGCACCACAACCCAGACAACUUACGAGCUCUACCUCAAUAAAAUGAAUUCCUCUCAGUUCAGAUCACACCAUCAGUUAACGAGGAAUGAUCAGAGAGAUGAAUCUCUCUCUCCUCAAUCAAAUGAAUUCCUUGCUCAGUUCAGUGCACACAGUAAACCAGGAAUAAACAGAAAGAUUGAUUCUUCUUCAGAAAUCAUCGUCUUCCAAGUAGAAAAAAGCUGAAAAGCAAAAUCGUAAUAAGUGAGUUUGCAGUGCUUUAUAAGGUAUUAAUGAUUAGAAUUAGUUUAGCUGCAGUGAACAUUUUUUGCUAGGUUGGUUGACUUCAAAGUUCACAUAGUUAAAUUUGAAAAGCAUGAGAGGCAGCUUGAGCCAUGCAAUAUGAUUGACACAUGGAGGUUAGUACAAACAUAAGACCAGUUCAGCAGCAUUAACCAUAAGCGAAUUAGAAGCACUGCAGCUGGUUGCUUAUGUUAUAUUUACAAGCUCAUAGAAAGGGCUUCUAAAGCAAGAAAAUGAGGGGUAAGUAAAACCUUCAUUGAAACAGUGAAGGUAGAGGUCUAAUUAUGUAAUUUAAAAACAUUCACAAGAUUAGUUUUCUUCACAUAUUAGCAUAGUGUUAGAAUUAGACAUAUAAGAGGAGUUCAUACCUUAUAUAGCGACCAGAAUCAUCAACUGCGCAUACACCUGGUGCGUAAACGAGUGAACUCAUUGCACAACCUCUUUAUGAAAACUGACCAAUUCAGCUAGCAUUGAUGAGAUCACAACUGAAACGUGCACUUACACCUGGUGCGUAAACGAGUGAACUAAUUGCACAAUCUCCUCAAGAUAAGUCACCAAUUCAGCUAGCAUUGAUGAGAUCACAACUGAAAUGUGCCCAACUCCUGGCCAUGCCUUGUGAGUUUAAUAGUCCUUCCUCCAAUCCAUUGAAGCCGAUAAGAAAGAUCAAGAUUGUGAAUUAACAGUUUCAGAUUAUCAGCAUCAUUGAGUUCCCUCAGCUUAUCCUGUACAGACAGAAAGCUCUUGAGACUGGAAAAUAAAGCCCCUGAUCUUAAUUAUCCGCUUUGUACAAAGAAUAAGAAUAAGUUUGAGGAUGACCAAUAACAAUAUAGGAGACAAGAAUCAGCUCUUCGGGAAAUCAGCAUACUCAAAAUUGUAGAUUAUACAAGAAAUGAGAUUACAGAAAUGCUAAAAUGUUUAAUCUCUUUCAGAAGAAAACAAGUUAAUAGAAGAGAAAUGAUAGCAACGCAAGUUACUAAUAGAUUAAUGUUGAUUAAGCCCUUGCUAAUUAACAUGUUAAGAGUGGCUAAAUAAUAUGUAAGAGGACAUUUUGAGGGAAAAAAGAGAAAAGUAGACAAAUGUACUACCGGAGAAUUUGCUUGUUUUCCAUUCCCUAUAAUGCUUGCCAUUAUACUCAGACGAGAAGAGUUAGGUGAAAAGCCCUCCCAUGGAGGAACAAAAAUGAGCUUGGUGCAUUGGACAGGAACAAGACUAUUUCUGCUGAUCCUCUCCCACCAUGCAGUUCCCAAUGACCACCAUCUGAUCAUCAACCCAUUCUCAGAGAAAGCAACGAGCCCCUGAUACAGUAAAUACACGACGAAAUGAGCACCAGAGAAUAUAGACAUUCCAGCUACACUGAUCAAAGUUUCACAGAUGCACCAUAGACAGUAAAGGAAAUCAUUCAUGCAUGAAACCACAAAGAGAAAAAGAUCAUCUAAAAAUUAAAAAGGAAAAAUAGCAAGGAUUUAUAUGAUAUUUUAAUAAUUGGUAACUCGCUUUAUGCUUUUUCAUGUUUAUACUCAACAAAUAAGAAGAUACAUGCAAUUACCAAAAUGACACCAAAUUAUAAUUGAGGAAUUUGAUCAAAGUAGUCAGAAUAUAUUUAAGAACUAUAUAAUGUAUCUGGUCUUCAUACUCAAUAGGCAAAAAUAUUCAAAAUCAAACUCUGCAAAAGAAUAAACCCAAAUUCGAAAAAAAAAACAAUUUGCUUGCAAUAAUUACUGCAAAGUUGGCCUUGAGGUGUAAUGCCAAUGCAUGUCAAAUCUAGAAUUUGGUUCGUCGGACCAUUGCACAAUGCUGAUUUGCUUCUUGCAUUUCUUUAUUGGAAAAUACCAGAUUUAGCUCACCUCUCCAUCUGGAGAAAAGCUCAAAGCUGAUAUUGCUAUAGCAAUCUUUGUACUCGAUGCUCCUUCAAGUAAACUUGGAAGACCCAGUGGUCCACUUGCAUCCAAUAUCUUUAUUUUGGUCACACUACGAAAAAGAAAGAAAAUAUAUUAAAAUAACUGUUUAAUCAACAAAAGGAAUGAAAGAGUACAGAUUACAGUUCAAGUUCAAAUUUGCACCUAGUAAACCGCAUGAGUUUGCAACCAUGUUAAAUAUUAAACUACAUACCUUUCUAUGUCAUAGACGCGUAUUGUAGCAGUAUGAAUAUCUCCAAUAGCAUCUCCAACAGCCAACCGUGUUAAAGAUUCAUUAAGAGCAACCAUUGGAAAUACACGUGCAAUUUCUCUUAAUGCAACCAUAGAGCCACUAAGGCAAGCCUUACGCAUGACCAAAUUGCUAGGGUCCAUCGUCUGUAAAACAUAGUUUAUUACCUGCAAAAUUCACCUUUCAUCAGAGCUAUAAGCAACGAGGGGGAGAUGCCAGAGAAUUUGUUUCCCAAAGAAUUGGAUACACUUGAAAGAGGGGGGUGGGGGGUGGGGGUGGAGGGGUAUCGUGGGGGACCGAGUUGGUGAUUCAUUUCUACAUAGAGACAGAAAACUUGGACAUUAGAUGCAUGCAAUUCUAAGAAAGUUUCUUGUUUAAAUGCCAUCUUGUAGGAAAUUACGAUAUGAUGUUGAAUUGUGACAUUGUGACUAAGAUAACAACAUUCAUGUGCUAUCACCCCUGUUAUUUAUAUUUAUAUUUCCCAGCUGCAUCACAUAUAUGGAUGAAUUAAGACAUAUGAUGCACAAAUAAAACACUGAAAAUGGAUGGCUUAUAGGACUUCAUAAUGUUGGACAGACAAUUACCUAAAAGCAAACAAAAAGAAAAGAAAUAGAAACUACCAAUCAUCCGGAACUGAACACAAUUAAGAUGUUAUGUCAAGAAAAUUACUAUCCGCAUAGCAUGAAGUAAAUAGCAACACAUACCUUGUCAAGAUAUGGUGCCAAGGUCUUGGGAGAACCGCGGACUACUCUGAUAAGAGUUUUCACUGAUACCAAAUGAACAGGUGAAUCAGAUGAAGUUGCCCAAAUUUGACCUUCAAUAACACCAAAAAAUCCUACUAUAUCAGCCAUAGCUAAGGUCGGUAGAAGAAUAUCAACCAAAGCUUCCCGAAUAGUAACAGCAACUACUGGAUUCCAUAUCACACAGCUAGCAGGGGAACCACUAAGGCAUUCGAUUUGGAAAAAUAUAUCUCCAGUAAGUUUAGGAAUAUCAGCACCUAAACAGUCUUUCCACGUACUUUCCAUUCCCUCAGCUAAGAGCUCAGCUGCUGUCGAGCUGUAUCGAUCAUUCAUGGACAUAAGUAACUUGAUUAGCUGAUUAACAACUAAAUUUGGAAGUUCAUCCUUCACAAUGCUAGGGUACCAAGCAGCUAAAGCAGCUGCAACGAUGAUAUUAGAGGCUUUUGCAUCCUGACUUGUUGCACCAAUCCAAGAAACCCAUUCUUGAUUCUCAAAUGAGUCCAGCCAUGAAAGUAUGGGAGAUGAUUCAGAUUCAUGCCGAUUGAGAUUUUCCGUAUUUCUCUCGGAUUCUAAAUAGUCAGUUAAAGAUGCAUUCUUCAUAUCUGGAAGGAGAUUCUCCACAUGGUUCAACGGGCUUGAAGGGAAUUCAGAAGAUUUGAUCUUUUGUUUAUACAGGGGACAUGGAACAGCACGUGGAGCUGCACAAUGGAAUAAAGAGCGUGCAGCCAUGCGGACAUGCUCACAAGGAUGCUGCCAAAAACUCACCAAGAGCUGAACACAUGGUAUGCGUGUAUUAGUUCCAAAACCCCAACAAAGGAAAGAGUAUAUUAUAUUUCAGUUUCUAAACAAACUCAUAGUUUAGUUCUUGAGUAGAGACGGACAUCGUUGAUGGAUGUACAACACAGGAGACGAUUGAAGACCAUUGAUCAAAUAUAUGAAGGCACUAACAUACUUAAAUAUGUGAAGAAAUUUACCCAAGUUGCACUAUUGGCGAGCCAGUAUUCAUAAAAUAGUUUUUUUUUUUUCUUUUCUAACAAAUACUCUAGUCAACCAUAACCUUAAAUUCUUUCUAACAGUAAAAAGUACAACUAAUUGCAGUUGAAAAUGCAAAUAACAUUGAUGACAAUAUAUUUAGACAAUGCUGCAUGAUGCUUCUUUUUAAAUAAAAGCUAAAGUAUUUGCCAAGUGAGACAAUUAUCUGCACACCGAAUAAACUCAUAUAAUUUAUGAUACAUAUUAUCAACAAUAAUAUAGAAAACACAAACAGAGAAUAAGCAGUUGGACAACCUGGAGCAAAGGAGGCUUUAUGUGUGGAACUUUCUCGGCAAAAUUCCGCGUAUAAAAUGCUGCCAAGGCACUGCAAUUAAAAUAAAAAAUAAAAAUAAAAAAAAAGCAAAAAUGAGAAAUAUAGUCGGAAAAAAAACCUCAUGCCAGAGUCUUUUUGGCAUCAAAAACUAGUUCCCCAAUUAUUACAAAAAUUCUUAUUAACAAUUAUGGAACAAUGUAAAUAGAACAGCUGAUUGACAAUUGAAGAAAAUGUACCUGCUAGCAGUUGUACAGGAAUGGGACAAAGUGAUGAUAUGUUGAGCGAGAGAAACAAUGGUGAGGGAUCUCAUUGCACAGAAUUCAGAUGAAGACUUCCAAAGCUGUACCAUAAAGUGAAUAUUGGAAUUUAUAUUGAGCCUUAAACAAUAAACUCAAAAAGGAGAUAUAGUUGAUAUAAACUCACCUCAAGAGUAGCCCACAUGCCAGGAAACAUUAACGUAAUAGAACCUCUAUCCCCCACCACACCAGGAGCUAUAUGGAAGCCUUCUGGCUUGCAUAUAUUCAUCUCAUCAACAAGCAAUUUAUCUAGCUCACCAUCAACACCCCAUAAGUGUAAAAAGCAUAAGCUGAACCGAAGUAGACGUCCUUCUAGUGUUUCUUUUGAAGGACUGUCGAUUACAUUUGAAUUAUCAUUAGAAGUUCCAGCUUCAAAAGGUAUUUCUUGCGAUUCAUGGUCAGAAUGAUGGGCUUUUAGCUGCUUAACAUCACAGUUUGGCAUGGCAAUGAGGGGGGACAUAAGAGCCGAAAGAUCGAACUUAAUACUUGCAACGCCAGGAAAAGGGCAAGAACAUUUUAUGGGUAGCUUUUUCUUUUGAAGAAUUUUGUGAGAAGGAAUCUUCGUAGAACUAUUCCGAAAGAAAUCAUCACGAGCUGGUUCCUUCUCCUUACUGCUCUGAGCAAGAGAAGUGAACUCAAUAGUAUCCAUUUUACCCCUGUGAAAAUUGCCAGUUGUACCCUUCUCAUUCCUUACUGAACUAUUUUUCAACUGUGAAUUGUUCUUAUCUUUGAAAACAGGAAGAAGCAGUGAUGAAGCCGAGGUCGUGCCUCCCAAAAUACCACCCGUAAUAGAGUUCUUAUUUAUUCCCCUACAGAAAUGGUCGAAAACCAAAUGGGAAGCUGCCCCUCGAAUAAUCCGUUCUCUAGCACCAGAUUUCACAUCCCACAGAUAUAGAACACUAACGGCAUUAUGCGAAGACAGAAGAUUUCUACACAAACAAGCUAUGUAGCCUUUUUUGCUAUCCCAUGCUACCAUGGAUGGGUAACUAGGAUGACCAGGAAACAUUCUCUCCACCCUCAUAGUUUCAAGAGAAACAAGAGCCACACAGCCAUCAUCUCCAACGGAGAGGAAACAGUCAUUCCAGGGUUUAUUAGUCCAAGGUGGCGGCAGUAUAAUUUGCCUAACAGGAGCCACGUGAUGGUGGAACGAUGAAAGGGGAUUACCCGUGUCAAAAUCCCAUACACGGAUUGUACAGUCGAGGCUACCUGAUAUUAGAACUCGACUGAAGUUCUGUUCGUUGGAUUGUGCAUGCAUUCGAUGUGUCGCCAAACAUAGAAUUGCACCCGAGUGUCCUGAAAAGAACUGCUCGGAGAUGUGAGGAUAGAUGCCUCCAAUACCAGAUUUUACCUCCGGAAACAGAUUUAUGAACCGAAUAACUUCUAUUUCACCGCUAUAGAAGCCAUAAACUACAGAAUAAGGAGCAUAGAAAUCUUCGGAGAGCACCAUUGAAGAAGAUACAGUCCUUUUACAUAAAUCUGUGUUUUUUCUUCCUUUUAUUGGCCAUUCACCUGAAAAGCUCCCUUCCGCAAGCAGCUUGCUAAAAGCAGUAGAUUCUAAUUGUUGAAUUGACCAUCUCGAGACAUGUGGUUCCCACACGGAAGAUUUGCCGACCGUGACACAGUUCGAUACGAUCUGGAUAAGAUCACCUUUUAACUGACAAAAAUGAAUCGACGAUUUCCCUUCGGAACUAGAAGGAAUUGAUGGAAUCUCACACAGAGGCUUGAAGUCAAAUGCAACACCAGAAAAGGAAAUUCUAAACACCACUGCUGCACCAUUAGUAUUCCAUAAAGCAACGGUUUUUAUGACGCCAUUAGAUGAAUUCCCAGUUUCUGAAUCAUCGUCCUGAAGAAAAAUGCCGCCGAUGAGCCGAACCUUUGAUGAAGAGUCCUCAUUGUAAAGGGAAGUACCAACCAAAGAGAUCUCCCCAAUGAUGGCUCCAUCCGCUACGGACUUAAACAAACACCGAGAUCCGAAAACCAACGCCACGAGCUUUCCAUCGCCAGCGAGCGCCACUGCCUGAGCCCCAUCGAACGAAUUCUCCCCCAAAAGAGAUGAACCGAGAUCGGAAGAAGAGCUACAAUAGGAAAAAAUCUCACUUUGGCCAUCAUGGUCGGAUUCUGAUAUCGCCAAGAGCUGGAUACGCCCUUGCCCAUCGACCAACACUACAUCAUGCUUCUUGUUCACAUUGCCCUCCACCGCCGGGACCACCGCCACUGCCGUAGGCGACCCGAUCGACAGGUACGAGUGGAACACUGUUUGGACUACGUUGAGGGUGCACGAGUCAACGAUCAGAACGUUACACUUGGUCGAUCUCUUCGUAGAAGCCUCCUCGCCGUCCUCGUUGGGGUGGGGAGCGGCCGCGUCAGCGGAGCUGCAGACGACGCAGACGCGGCGCGGCGUGAGGGGGAGCGGCGCGAGGAGGGAGGGCGCCCCGGCCCACGGCGGGAGCUUUCGCCGCCGCCGACAACGCCCUCCGCCGCUCCAGACGCAGAGGACGCCGUCGGAGCAGGCGCUGAGGAUGGAGGGCGCGGCGGCGGAGGGGGAGCAGGGGGCGAGGUCGGCGAUGGGGGCGGCGUGGCCGCAGAGGAGCCCGAUGGGCCGGAUCUCCGGAUCGGAAAGGUCCCACCACACGAGGGAUCCGUCCGAUCCACCGGUGUAGAGCGCCGCGGCGGCGGAGGCGGAGGCGGAGGCGGAGGCGGAGGCGGCGGCGGUGACGCGGUGCGGCGGAGGGGCGGAGGGCCAGAGGCACGCGACGGAGGGGCACUUCAUUCGCCCCUCGCCGCCACCCACGCCGCCGCGAGCUCCGGCGAAGAAGGGUUUAGGAUGAUCGCGAGAGGGAGUGAGGGGCGAUGGGGUGGGGAAGUGGACGAAGAAGAAUGAGAGUUUUAGGAGACGAGUACGAUCGAUGAUGGGUGAGAUGGGCUACGCUGGUGGGGUAUGGGUCGAAUUCGAAGGCGCCGGCGACGAGCGAUUCACCCCGCAAUCGCGCGUAUCGCCGAGCCAACGUUUCGGAUUCGGGUCCGGUAAAGGCGAUUGCUGUUCGUGUCCGAAUUGGAUUCAAGUGCCCGAUCGGAGGGUCAUUCCCUCUAAUUAAGAGUCGGAUUUUAGCAAACAAAGAAUAUUAUUUAAAAACUUAUAUUUUAUUUUAGCUAUUAUUACAAACUACAGUAGGUAUCAUUUUACCCAAAAGUUCUUGCAGGUGGUGCACCAUAUUCUGUCUCAUACAAUGCAGUUAUUGACCGUUUCAAAAAAGCGUAAAUUUCGAAAAGGGUUGAAAUUUUGAUUAUUUUACCUCUGGACUAUAGAUAUAUAUAUAUAUACACAGCGCCACCACACAGGUAGGUUGGUAAUGCAUGAGGUCUCGCUGGAUCAAUCGCGUGCGCACGGUCACUGGCGUGGCCCCCGCGGCUCUCAUCUAGCAACGCACCCGAACUGCAGCACGGCAGCCGCGGCACGUGUCCAUGGGCUUCGGCCCCCCACGGCUACAGAUGUCCACUCCUCUCUCCUGGUGCGUGUCGCUCGUAAAUUUAUUUUCUUUUACUGGAGAGAAGUGUGAUGCCGCUCCUCGCGCAAAUUAAUGAACGAAAAAAUCGAGCAUCGAUCCACACUAUAAAUUAUGGCGCAUCACCAGGCACCGGUGUUCCUACAUAGAUCGAUCGAGUUCCCAAAUCAGCACCGGAACAGAGCGAUCGAUAGCGAAGGAAUAUAUAUAUAUAUACACAGGUUCGUAGCACUACAUAUCGACCAUGGCUCAGCUGGUGAACAAGGCGAAGGAUUUCGUGGCCGACAAGGUGGCCAACGUGCAGAAGCCGGAGGCGGAUCUCACCGACCUGUCGGUGAAGCUUCUCCGGCCAACUCAACGUCUACAACCCCUACAGCCACGGCAUUCCCAUCUGCGAGAUCUCAUAUUCCUUCAGGAGCGCCGGCAGGUAAUAUAUAAUUAAUAUACACGUACUGCAGUUAAAACUUUUUCUGAACUGUUUCAUUUCUACGGUGAACGACGUACAUAAUCUCAAAAUAAUAGAUAUAUGUAUAUAUAUAUAUAUAUAUAUAUAUAUAUAGAUAAUAUCAGAACCAGUCAGAAGACAUUCAUCGUACGUAACGCGCACCUGCGCGAUAAUUUGCAGGGAGAUCGUGUCGGGGACGAUGCCGGAUCCGGGGUCGCUGAAGGGGAAGGAGACGACGAGGAUGGAGAUACCGCUGAAGGUGCCGUACGACUUCCUGAUCAGCAUCAUGAAGGACGCGAGGAGGGAUUGGGACAUCGACUAUGAGCUCCGCGUCGGCCUCACCGUCGACCUCCCCAUCAUCGGCAACUUCACCAUCCCCGUCUCCAAGAAGGGCGAGCUCAAGCUUCCCACUCUCUCCGACGUCUUCUAACUGAAUCUACUAGCUAGCUAGUUCUGUGUUGCUCCCGAUGUGGCGUGUGUGUUUGUCACACGUGUAGGAUAAUAAGUGCCGUGUAAACAAUAAUAAGAAAGAAAUAAAAGUUAAUUAUUAUUAUUAUUAUGGGUCACGCUUGAAAACUAAAAAUACGUGGAAGUAGCGUACGAUCCAAUUGAAUCCUCCGGGGGACUGCAGAUGAACCAUCACUUACUAUACAGCAGAGACAACAACUCGAUAACUCAACGAUGCUCUCUCUUUACAACAAGCUGAGAACUAUGUGAAAGAGCAUUGUCAACGCGAUGCUCCCUCAAACAUACAAAUUUCCUAAGAAACAAUUGGUAAGUCGUGCAUUGUGCCCAAUAAUAGGUGCGUGUAAAUUGUACUACAAGAACCUGAACGUUCCACUCGAAGUUUCACCCUUUCUGGUUAUCAAAUUUUCAAAUUCAACCUAAGGAAUCCUAAAACGUUUAAAAAAUCUUUCUAUUUUCAAGAUGAAAUUAAUGGCCACAAGAUGCGAGGUCGAUAGCCAUCCAGAGAACAAUUUUCUUUCCAAGCAUAAGUAUCAAAAUAUUUUUGAGGCUUAUUGGGUCCUAAAAAUUUGACCGAUAAAGUGAAACGCAGUGAAAAGUUUGGCCACUAGUGCAAUUCACGCAGUGGUGUAAUUUACCAAAUUUUGUAACAACCAUUUACUUAGUCGUGCUCAAUACCAAGAUCGAACGAAUUUUAUAAGCACCAAUACAACCAAAAUAUGACCAUGAAAAAGUUACCAUUUGGAAAUAACUUUACAAAUACUCAGGCCGUAGUUUAAGUUUGUUGACAAAAUAUAGAAAAGAUACACAAGACCCUGCAACUUCCUCCUUAAUCCCAUGGCCUGGACUCCAGCUAAUGUAGUUAGAAGAGUUGGAACCUCACCUCCACCACCUUCUGAAGGUGAGCUCCAAGAGAGAAUGAAAAUAUCGAUGUAGUUCAUCCUUCUUGUUAGCCCUUCCCACCCUGAUAAAGCCAACAAUUUACCCAACAUCAACAUAGUCUAGCGUAUAAAUAUACAUAAUAUGUAGCACAAAUACACUUUCAAAUGGAUUCUAAUAACAUGAAAACACAGAAAAAGAUUACGCAUAGAACAAUGGUUUAAAAGGAAAAAAGCGUAGAAAAUUAGAAAGAAGAUGCAGUUAUGUGACUAUACGUCCUUUUAUGGCUGUUUUAGAGUGGUCGGAGUGGUUAAAUUUUUAUUGCCGUGAUUUAAAUAGUAAGUCCAAAAUAAUGUCCAAUAGGAAGCUGAUCUACAGGACGAACAGAUAAGGGUGAAAAUAAAUAAAGCAUGUUAAAAGAUAUGACAAGGUGGAUGUUAAAGGAAUGUGUGAAUCCUGCAUAACAAAAUUGCUAAUGAAGCAGCUAAGAUAUCGUUGAACCCACGUAAAGGUGAAUGGAAAAAAAGAAGUCUCGACCAAAUAGUCCAAAAACUCCGAAUCUUCUAAAACAAUGUCACUCUUAUCUGAAUAAAUUUUGGUACCAUUGAAGUGAUGGGACACGAGUGGAUGGAAUGAUCAUCGAUAACUAGAUUGCUGUAGAACCUUUGAUAGUUGCUAGAAUAAAGAGUAGAGUAGAACUCAUCUUUGAGAGCAAUCACUCAAAGAACAAAUGAAACUGAAUAGAGGUGAUUCAUGUUGGGGGGACAUAAUAAUUCUGGUUGAUGUUCGCCAUAAUAAAUGGCAUUCCAAAUUCUGUUGUCUAAACAGAAUAUGGCACUUGCAUAAUUCUAAAGACCUUCAACGGCUUACUGUAAGGAGAGAAAGACGAGCAUAAACAUCAAGCAGUAAAUUUACAUAAAAUUGUGGUUGGAGAUAAAACAAGCAGUAAUAACAUUGUGAUCAAAGCCUCAAAGAAUGCUAAAUUGCUUGGUCAUCACGAAAGUGAAUAUGGGUUUGAUCCCUCAUACUAAUAAAGGGUUUUUCUGUCUCCCUCAAAUAGCAGGAAAAAGAAGAAGAAGAAAAAAAAAGCAAAGAAAGAAAAUGAAAACAGAAAGCGCAAAGUAGAAAAGAUGACCAUGACAAUUGUGACAUGGAAAAGAAUGCUAGUCCCACAUUAAACAUAAGCUGAAAUAAACAGAACCGGUAAGAGCAGCCGUUAACAAAUAGGAAGACAAAUUUGGGCUCGUAAAAACAAGAAAGUCGCACAUAAAACACAGCUAAACUUGGGUUGUGCACAACUUGGAUCAAGGGGGGAGCAUAACUUAUGCAAGUACGAUCCGUUGGCUUAAUCCCAGCAAUUGCUUUCUUAACUAUUGAUUUAAACACUGCAUAAGGGAUUAGUUUAGACUACUAAUUAGUUAGUACACAUAAGAAACACUACGCACUAUAGGCUGCUAGAAUCAGAGUCGGCAUCUCCAUCUAUAGUUUGAAGAAAUAAUAUGGAUUAUGGACCAUAGAUAUAGCGAGAUGCAUUUUCAUUUUUGCAAGUUGGAAAACAUAAGAAACUCCAUUAAACUGGCUGUGGAAGGCAGCACUAUAGGAGGGCAAUAAUCCAUAGACAAUGAAUAGGGAUUAAAUAGUUUUCAAAGGCUACACAAACUAAGAACCAUAUGUGCAAUUUCAAUAAAGUAAAAUGAGUGAAUGUUCUUACACCUUAUACAACCAUUUAUGAAAAGAUUUGAUUAACUUCUUACCUUUCUGGGAGGUGUUCCUGGUUUCAACAUACUAUUCCCAAAGCCCAUCUUCCCUUUCUUAUCCGCUGGUUUAAGGAUUUGAAAUGAACAUGUUAGAGUAUCAUCCACACUCAUCAUAGCACCAGCAUUAUCAAACUCGCCGCAGUAGUUAGGGGCAGAAAAUAUUGUCACCAGUUGCCGUUUAGCAAAAAAUUCAUAACCAUCUUCGACAACCUGUCCAAAUAUAAAAUUCAAUGAAAAUCACUGGAAAGCACCUUGCUAGAAAAUUAGCAGUACCACUGGAGAGUAUGAGAAAACACAAUUCCAUCAGCAAGUCAUACUUAUUACUUGGCAGAAUGUUAAUAUAGCAUGACAUCUCCUAUUGCUUGCAGAGUCAUCACAAUUAAAGCAGAAUUAUAACCAUAUUAUUUCGUUCAAAACAGAGGUUUUAACGAACCAGCUGCUACCUGAUGAGCUCUGCAGAUGAGGUCAAUGUCAUGCUUCUGAAGGAACUCAGCAACUUUAUCAGGCCCAAAGGUAUAGGAAACACCUCUAUCAUUUUCUCCCCACCCUUCGAUAUCUUUAUCAGGGUCAGACCACAGCAGAUCGCAGAGUAGACCUUGGUCAGGAACAUCAACAGGACGAGCAAUAUUCCUUAUCUGAUCCAAGUUCUUCAAAUCUGGAGAUAGACCCCCGUGCAUGCAAAGGAUCUUCUCAUCAAUAAAAGCGGCCACAGGAAGGCAGUUGAAACAAUCAGUGAAAACCUUCCAUAGGCGAACAUUAAACCUCCUCUUGCAUUCAUCAUAGAACCCAUAGAUACGGUUGAUAGAAGCACAUUCGUGGUUCCCUCUCAAAAGAAAGAAGUUUUCAGGAUACUUAAUCUUAUAAGCAAGCAGAAGGCAUAUCGUUUCAAUGCUUUGCUUUCCACGAUCAACAUAAUCACCAAGGAACAAAUAGUUAGCUUCUGGUGGGAACCCACCAUAUUCGAACAGUCGAAGCAGAUCUGAAUACUGGCCGUGAAUAUCUCCUGUUUGUUGAAAUAAAUGCCAGAUAAUCUUAAUAUUAUAAAUAUAUGAAGCACUAAAAGACAGGUACGACAAUCUUAUGUCAGCCAAUAACACACGUUCCAUCCAAAAUGUUUAAUUAGUACAGCACUCCAACAUAUCUGACAAAGAAAAACGUAAAGGAACACCUGCCAAAACUAGAUGGAAGAAUAUCUAAGCCUUCUUCCACUUUUUAAAAAUGUUAAUGCCAAAAUUGCUGUUUCAUAGCCGGGGAAAAACUAGUUUCUACUUUCACUUGCCUUUUAUGACGUGUUCAGUGUACAUGACAAUAGAGCUAAUACAGUUAUAUCUUUUGGUAUCUUUUCAUCUACUAGGAAAAUCCUUUUAACCAUGAACAAAGACUGCAAACAAGAGGAGAAUGAUGCAACCUUGAUGCUAAGUAAGAGAUUGAACCCCAAAGCAUUUCCAUAACUCAAAAGGGAAGUGACUAAUCUUAUUCAAUCUUCCUUAGAACCAACUUUACCGUGCCACUCCUAAUUCACCUAUAAAAACUUCAAUUAUACAACAAAAAUAGUAAGUUUUCUUGAGCUCCCUGCAAGAAAACUUCUGACUAAUACAACUAAUGCCAUUUCAAGACCGUCGUUGAGACAGCUUACAAGAAUACAUGUCUCUGAUCUUCUUAUCCCUUGUCUUUGCAAAUAUAUAGACAUCAAUUAUAAGUUUAGAUUUAGCUUCAUCACAGCAAACACGCCCAAUCAUAAGAAAACGACAUAAAAAUAGCAAUCAGGACAAAUUUCUCCAAUCUAACCUAAUCGAUCCCCACUAGGAGCCAAAGCACGUCCACAAAUCCGAAUCUCUCGAUCAAGAACGCUCCUCGGAACCAAACAACCGAAUCAAACUCUCACCAAACCCUCGAUCAACGACGAUCCUUGUGAUCAACAAACAGAUCAAGCAAAACUAGGGCAAAAUAUCGAAUCCAAGACCGAAUUUUUUUUACCGCAAAUCUUAAUUGGGGCCUCGAGCUCGAGGAGAUUGGGUUGCGCGACGAAGAUCUCCUUCGACGCGAGGCACAGUUGCCGUAUCUCCGCGUCGGCGAGCUGCACCUGCCGCACCGUCCUCCCGCUGCGCGCGUCGAGGAGCCGCCGUAUGAUGUCGUCCAACAGCACCUCGUCCAUCGGCAUCGUCGCCGCCUCGCCGCUGCCGCCCCAAAACCCUAACCCUAACCCUAGGUUUCGCUAGAAGAGAACAAAAAGGAGGCUCGAGGAGAGGGGAGAGCGGGGAAAGGGAGGCGCACUGAGAUAUUUGUUAUUGCGUUUUUUUGGUUUUGUGGUUUGGCCUAUUGGGGAGGAUUAUGGGUCGGGGGCGGUGGGUCAACAAAGAGGGAGAGGAGAGGAGAGGAGAGGAGAGGAGAUGAGCGAAGCGGGAGCGGCGCACGUGCGGGUGUAGUGAGUUAUUGACUCGCGAGUCGUCGUCGAAAACAAACAAUUCGAUUGGAUAUUGGUAAUCUCUUAUCUUACAUUUGAUUGAUCAAGAAGAUUAUAGAAUCAAUUUUUCAUAUGAAUUUCUAAGUUUUAAUGCUAAUAUAUACUUUUGUACUAAAAUUUAGAAUUUUCUUCUAUUCUCUACAAAUAGAUAACAAGAAAUCAAAGACCAAUCCAAAGCCAGCGAAGAUAGAACAAGCAUAAUAAAAUCACUUUAUUUUAGAUAAAAAUGUAUUGAAUCUACUAAAAUAUGGACCAUCUAGAAUUGAUUAUUUAAUUUUUAAAAAAUAUUGAUUAUGUUACUCAAUCAUUCAAAUUAUUUGAUUUGAAUUGAUCCAUGAUAUUUUAACUUUAAAAUUUAAAUUAUUUAUUUAUUUUAAUAAAGAGUUGUGAAAAUUAUAUAAAAUAUAUAUUAAUAAAACUUGCAAGUUUUGAUGUUAAAAUGUUUUUUACUGGCUCAAAUCAAAAUCAUAUACGAUUUUAUCUCUUUGUUUCAUUAUCAUGUAAUUCUCUCUCGAAUUAUUCACCCAUAUACAUGUGUGCUUCUAAUAUUGACUUUUCUUUAAAACUGAUCAUUAAAAAUUUAUAAUUUACUAUCAAAAUUUUAACUAGCAACUAAUUCCAUUUUGUUCAACUUAGAAGUACGGUCAAAAGAGAAGUGGACUUUAAAAACAAUAAAUCAUUCUCUAUCUUUAAAAAAUUUUAAUUUAUUACUUCAAUUUGUGAGAUAUAUAUGUGAUUUAUUAUAAUUUUUACAGAAUUAUUUAGGAUUGCAUGUGGGUACUUGGGAUUUUUAUUUAAUUGAGGAGAAUAUAAUUACAAAUCAGUAAAUUAUUUUUCUAAGGAUAAAAAAGGGUAACAGAUUAUUGCUUUAUUAUACAAUUAUUUCACUAAAUAAAAUUUCAAAUGGUAUUACGUACGUGGUAUUCCAUAAAAAAGCCUUUUCUUUUUUUAUUCUUUUAUUCUUUUUUUUUGCUACACAGACCUAGUGACAGGACAUAUCAUUUUGCUGGUGUUUUUAAAUUUUAUUUUUUAAUUAUAAUAUACUAUCCGUUUCGUUUAUUUCAUUUAGAAAUAAACUUAGCUGAAAAUGUGAAUCAACUAGGAUUUAAACUUGGGACUUCAGGUACCGAUCAUCAAUUUCUUUGCCACUUAUUCUGGGGACAAUUGUUAAAUUUUAUUUUUUAAUAAGAUAUAAUAAGUUAGAAGUGGGCGCAGGUUGAAUAUGGGCUGCUUGGAAAACAGAGUAAACCCCCAAAUAAUGACAUUCAGGUGCGGCUUUUUUGGGCCUGCUGAUUUCCCACGAUUUACAGUAUGAACCCAGUCCAAGCCCAAAUAGCAAGCCCAUUAGGCAAAACCAAAGCGUUGCAAUUUGUACAUGCACUGUGGUUUUAGGGACUCUCUUUUUUAUUUUAUUUUCCUUCUCACACAAUGAAGAAGCUCAAGUUCUGACCUUCCAACCUCGCGUACAAUACUUUAAAACUUUUACUAUGAUAACUACGGUCCGUAUCUAACGUAGUUGGCUAAAAAUUUAAUAGUCGAUGUUGAUCUACCAACAUCCCACGGUUGAACAGUAUAUCGGGAGUGAGUAGUCUUUUACGACGUAGUAGUCAAAUGAAGAUUUUGAUUUUGACUGAAAUUUUUAAUCUCCAUAUGUGCAGGUUCGUCGGGUCUCUUUGUCCUGCGUUAGAGAUGAACUUGUAAAAGAAUUUGACCGUAAACAGAUGAUUGGAGGUCCACUGUCAUUUGAGCAAGUCCAGGCCGGUGCUAGGGCUAGUAGGCUACAUUGAUUGGAGGUCCACCGUAAACGGAUUUUAAUUUAUUUUCCUUUUUUUCACUAUUUUCUCUCUUUUAUCCUUUCUCCCUUCACCUCUUUUCUGCUUUGUUCUUGUUUCGUUUUUGUUUUAUUUCGGAGGCUCUAGUUACUUCCUCCUAUACGCUUAGUUUAUUUUGCUUAAUAAAUGAAACAAAUAACUCGCUAUUUCUUUCUCAAAAAUAUAACUACCAUCCGUAUCUAAUGUAGUUGACUAAAAAUUUAAUAGCGGUACUCGAGAUUAUAAAUUCAAAGCCUGAUUAUUUUGUUUUUUUAUAUCAAUUUAUUUAUUUUUUAAAAAAUAAAGCAAAUAGUUUGCUGGUUUUCUUUAAAAAAAAAAAGUAAAAUAAAGUGAUAUCAGUAUGUUUUUUUGGAAAAAAAAAAAAAGGUCUAAGUUUGACAUUUUCGUAGAUUCUUGUCAAAAGAUAACUUGGGCGCAGUGCAAUUCUGACUCCUGAUCCGUUCCUCAUCACCCGUACAAAUAUCUGUCAACGUUAAACGUCACUGCAUUCGUUCGAGCAGGCAAUGUGCAACGUAAUCAAGCACAAUUAGAGAAAGCUAAUUGGAGCUGUUUUGUCAAACUUAUUUUCCCAACUUUAUUGUCCACGUUCACUCAAACUACUAUGUUAUUGAAAGCACGAAGCCUUCCGUACUUCUAGCUCAUUUUCGAUGUUGCGACUUUCGAAUCAUCGAUCGAUCGGUUCCGUUAAACUUGAUCUAGAGUAUUUGAAGUACCUAGAAAAUAAAUUUUAUGAUUUACGAUAUCAUUUGCCUGGUGAUCGAAGGGGCUCAAAAUCAACGGCUGAAAAUAAAAAUCUUACAAAAUGUAAUAAUAUGACAUUAAAAUUUUAAAUCAAAGAUAUUGAUCUUGUUUUAUACAGUAUAAAAAAUUUUCUAUCAAAAUUUCACGUGAUUUUGAUAUUUCUACACCGUUAAACAAGCAAACGGCUCACUACAGCCAUUGAAAUUUGUUGAUUUUGAGCCCAUUCGAUCACUAGGCAAAUGAUAUCGAAAAAUAAUAAAAUUUAUUUUCUAGUUGCUACUGACAAUUACUCGCGGUCAGACCAACGCUUAACGGCAGCGAUCGACGAUUCGCAUAAGUCGCAACAUCGCGAACAAGCACGCUCGAAGCACGAGGUUUUUCGCUCUCCGAUAGCAUAAUAGCCUCACUCAUAUAUAUAUAUAUAUAUAUAUAUAGAGAGAGAGAGAGAGAGAGAGAGAGAGAGAGAGAGAGAGAGAGAGAGAGAGAGAGUUUUGCUAGAAUACUAUCGGGAGUAAACGGCUCGGUCUACUACCGAUUUGUUUUCGAUGAUAGAGCUUCCAAAUUGAUGAUCGGCACCAUUAAACAUGAUCUAAACUAUUUAAACUAUCUAAAAAUCAAAUUUCACACAUUUUCGAUAUUGUUCUUUUGUCCAUUAGGUGAACAGAAAAAUGAAUGGCUGAAAAUAAAUAUCCUUCAAAAAGUGACGAUACAAUUUUUAUAUUUGAGAUUUAGAGUCUAGAUCUUAUUUUAAAUAGUUUAAAGAAUUUUUUAACAAAAAUUUAAUUGAUUUGAACUCUUCUAUACCGUUAAACGAGUAAACGCAUCAUAUCGGCCAUUUAAAUUAUAGAUUUUGUGACCCUUUAAUCGUUCAGUUAGUAAUGCCAAAAAAUCAUGAAAUUUGAUUUCUAGAUAAUUUAAAUGGUCUAAAUCAUGUUCAACGAUACCGAUCAUCGAUUUGGAAGCUCUAUCAUAAAAAACAAAUCGGUAGUAAACCGAGCAAUUUACUACCGAUAGUAGCCCAGUCAAACUCUCUCUCUCUCUCUCUCUCUCUCUCUCUCUCUCUCUCUCUNCCCCACAUGGUCAUGGAAGAGGCCGCCAUUAAUGGCGAUUUGAAGGAGACGGAGAAGAAGAGUUCUUUGGUGCUCUACCCAUCCCCGGGAAUGGGCCACCUCGUCUCCAUGAUCGAGCUCGCCAAGCUCUUCGCCCGCCACGGCCUCUCCGCCACCGUCGUCAUCGUCGACUCCCCCUACAACACCGGCGCCACCGCCCCCUUCCUCUCCUCCGCCUCCUCCUCCACCGACCCCUCCGUCUCCUUCCACCGCCUCCCCCCUGCCCAGCUCGCCCCGAGCCCUUCACCCCACCCCGAAGUCCUCGCCUUCGACCUCCUCCGCCGCUCCAACCCCGCCCUCCUCUCCUUCCUCCGCUCUCUCUCCCCCUCGCCCCGCGCCCUCGUCCUCGACUUCUUCUGCACGGACGCCCUCGACGUCGCCGCCGAGCUCGCCCUCCCCGCCUACUUCUUCUUCACCUCCGGCGCCUCCGCCCUCGCCGUGUUCCUCCACCUCCCCUUCCUCCACUCCCACCUCCCCUCCAGCUUCAAGGACAUGGGUAACUAUAUACUAACAUUAAUUCAAUCAAUAUUAAGAUUUUAUUUACUUUGCGUUUGAAUAAUAAUAUAAUCGGUCGAGCUGGUUGGUAUAUUCUUACAGGCGACACUCCUGUCGCUUUUCCUGGCCACCCCGACAUCCCCGCCUCGCACAUGCCCCUCCCCAUGCUCGACCGCGCGGACGACGCGUACAAGGGCUUCAUACGCCCCCUCCGGGCCGGGCUCUGCGUCCCGGGCCGGCCCGUGCCCCCGGUCUACUGCGUCGGGCCGCUGACGCGCGGCGGUAAGAGCACCGGGCACGAGUGCCUACGGUGGCUGGACGCGCAGCCCCGCGGCAGCGUCGUGUUCCUCUGCUUCGGGAGCCUCGGCGUGUUCACCGCGGAGCAGCUCAGGGAGAUCGCGACGGGGCUGGAGCGGAGCGGGCACCGGUUCCUAUGGGUGGUGCGGGCGAGCGAGGACCCGCACCGGCUUUUCACGAGGCCGGCCGAGCCGGACCUGGGCCGGGUCCUCCCGGAGGGGUUCGUGGAGCGAACCAAGGAGCGGGGCCUGGUGGUGAAGACGUGGGCCCCGCAGGUGGAGGUGCUGCGGCACGCGGCGACGGGCGGGUUCGUGACGCACUGCGGGUGGAACUCGGUGCUGGAGGGGAUCUGCGCGGGGGCGGCGAUGAUCGCGUGGCCGCUGUACGCGGAGCAGCGCAUGAACAAGGUGGUGAUGGUUGAGGAGUGGGGGCUGGGGCUGGGGAUCGAGGGCUACGACAGGGAGGAGGGGGUGGUCGGGGCGGCGGAGGUGGAGAGGAAGGUGCUGCUCCGGACGUGGAUCGCCGGAGAAGUAUCCCCCUGAUGAUCAGCUGCUCACAUCCGUUUAAAUAAUAUAAUAAGAAAAUAAUUCUUAUUACUACUAUUAUUUGUUCUUUCUUUUUGUACCGAUGGUUGUAUACUUUGUCUUAACAGUUGUUGAAUUACAGGGACUCUUUACUUCUGUUACCGUCCCAAUCAUUAGAUUUUGCGAAUUGUGAACCAUGUGCUAAAAUAAUGACUGAAAUUAAUUAAUAAGAACCCGUCUUUUGUUUGGAGUUUCAGUUUGAAAACUGUACGGAUUUAGUAUUCUUAGAAAGUUUUUGUUUAGUAGGAAAAAAUAGAAACAUCUGUAGUUCCAUAGCAUUUUCACAUCGUGCGGCGGCCUGAUUGAAACUAAUAGAUCCAUAUGUGGGCUACGUGGGUUGUGUGGGCUUGAGCAGAACUGGGUCAGCAAUCGUAAACUUGGAUGUUAGCUCAACGUGUGCUUGCUCGGUGCUCACAAUUGAGGGCUAAUAUAAGCUUCUCAGAGGCCCAGUAUUAUCCUACCUCCCCUACUUUUGUUUUUUUUUUUUUUUUUAAUGGCCCAGAUAAAGUGAGAAGAUCUAUUCCUUUUUAUCUUCUCUCAAUAUUUGUUUUCACGGAUUAUGUUGGGCCAAAAGAAGUUGGACUAUUUGGUAGUACGUAGAGAUAUAUUUUUCUUCUUUUCGGUGAAAUUGUAUAAAUAAUCGUAGCUUAAUCGAACAAUUACGACCUACACAGCGCAUCAUCAUUUGUAGCAGCAAAUAGAUUUUUUUUUUUUCUUUUUUCUUCAAUCCCGAACGGAGGGUACUAGUAAAAUUGAGAGUUCUUUUGUUUGGAGAAAGCUUGAUUAAUUGGACUGGGGUGAGCUCCGCCAAAAAGGGCUGUUCUACUCAUAAAGUUUCAUUUUGGUUCGUGAAUCUUAAUUUAAUGUACUUGUAAAUCUUAUUUAUCCAAAUUUUGUUUCAAUCACGAUGCAUAUAUUCUCAAAUUUUCUUUGAUUUUUCUAAUAAAGAAUUAUUGCCGUGGUAUAUAUCAUCUCAAUACAAUUAUAAUGUGAUAGCUCACUCGCUGUUCCUCUAUAAAAAUGUAAUAAUUACAUGUUUAAUAUAAAAUAAACGCUCAAUCUAUAUAUAAUAUAAUAUAAAAAGUAUCUUUACUAAUAAAUUUGAUAGUUAGAUUAGAACCACAUCGUUAUUAUAACAAAAUGAUUCAUAAUAAUUUGAUAGUUAGAUUAGUACCACAUCAUUUUUACGAACUUUUGGCGAUCAUUUCUCAGCGGUGCAAUUUAUAAUUUUUUUCUUCUUAGAAACAAAAUGAUUCAUAAUAAUAAUUAGCAUAUAAUUAACGUGAUAAAAUUCUCUGGAAUUGAAGCAAGUUAAUUUGGCGGUGGGACCCGUGCCUUUUUGCCACCUUUCACCUCAUGAAUCUGCACAUGCAUGUCAUGACGCAUCCACGCGGCACAAAGUUUUUAUCUUUUUUUUAACUUUUAAUUUUUCGGAUAAUUCCGCACCGAGAACGAUGGAAGCUAUUCUAUUGGCUUUUAGUCCUGUACAUGAACCAUGUAGCAUUCUCUUUGACGGAGAAAGACAAGGAGAGUUCACGUGAGACAGAUAAGGACCAAAAACCCGUGAAGGAGAUGGGGCACCCCCCAACUAAAUUAAGGACGACAUUACGUACGUACGUCAAAAGAUAUAUAUAUAUAUAUAUAUAUACAGAGAGAGAGAGAGAGAGAGAGAGAGUUGAGUUAGAAUACUCUCAAAAGCACCAAUAAGGUAAUGCUUUUGAGUUUUUAACUAUUGGAUGAAGAAAUGUAAAGUUGUGAUGGUGGUAGGUGGAAUAGUAUUUGAUCCAAUGGCUAUUAGUAAUCAAGGAGUAGAUCCAAGGGCUAGAAACCUAAAAGCACCAAUGGAGUGAUACUUUUAAAAAUAUACUAGCUCAAUUAUAUAUAUAUAUAUAUAUAUAUGUAUAUAUAUAUGUAUAACAUGCAUGCUUCCAAUGCUAUAAAAAUUAAAAAAAAUUUAAUUUCAUAUAGUAACACAUGAACAUAUCAAAUAACAAAUAUAUUUUUAUAAAAUUUAGAUUAUUAAAUUUAUUUUUUUAAAAUUCAUUAACAUUCUUUUUUGUUCGUCUAGUUUGCUAUCAUUCAUUUUUUAACUUUUUUUUAGAGAGAAAGAUACCCGCUUCGUUUAUUCUUUUUAGAAAUAAAUUUAGUUGAAAAUGUGAAUUUAACUAUGAUUCGAACAUCGGACCUCGGGUACCAACCACCGAAUUCUUACCACCAACUUUUUCUUAACGUUGGGUGAACGUAUAAAAUAACUAUUUUAUCCUUACAAAAUUAUCCUUACCGUUUGUCAUCUCUCUUUUUUUUUUUUUCUCUCUCCUCGCCUUUUCCGUGGCAUGUACGGCGUACCUGAUUUUUGCUAAGUCUUGCUGUCGCAAUGAAUAAAAAUAAGUGGGUGACAAAGAUAACGGAACUCAAUAUUCAAAUGAAAAUUAUAUAUAUAAGAGAUAAAAAGAAUCAUUUUACUUAUUAGCUAACUGUUGUAAAAUUUUUUAUUUCACGGUUAUUUAAAUAAAUUGUAGUAAAAGAAGAAUAUAUUUGAAAACGAGAGUACUUUUGAAAAGAUAAAUUUGAUAACUUAAAUUUUGAAUGAACAUAUUUACUACUUGACUCUUUUGUAGAGAGCCACAUGCAAUUAUCCAUAAGAAAAUUUAUAAGAGAAGUACAAGAUUUAGUUAGCUAAUUCUUUUCUAUUAUCUUACCACGACCUCAUGCACUCCGCGACGACAAAUGACACCUCAGAUUGUCACUUCCCAAAUGCUGAGUUUGAGAGGUUUUAGAUCUCAUAUUAGUUUACAUUUAGAGCUCGAAAUUUCGCAUCUCAGCGUGAGAUCAAAUUUCGAUUUUUUUUUUCCUGUUUUGGUACGUACGCAACAGCAAUUAAUAAUACAAAUUAUUAUGUUUUGUGAUUGUUGGCGACAUUCUCGACAGGGAUUAACACAAGCAUGGAAUGCGAUUGAAAACGAGAGACGCAGGGGAAAGGAGAGAGCCCUGCAUGCACAAUAUACGGCGUAUGAUUCAUGCAGAGGUGAUCCGCAAUGCAAUUAGCCAUACAUGAUCAUACGGUGGAAUUGAUAGGAAUGUGUGGACCUCGUUCACCAAGUAGGAUGAGGACUCCCCAUGCAAUCUCUCGCACACAUUCCAGUCAAGACAUUUGAUUGGAAGUCCACGGAUGACGUGGUGGACUAGGUCCACUCCUACAAGCUACGUACGUAGGCGAGAGUACGUACGCGCUCACGUAUUCGUACGUAGGGGAAAAGAUUCAUGCAUGGUUUCACUUCUUGGACAUGGAGGCUCUCCGGCUAAGCACCGCCCAGUAGAGCACCCGAUAAAGCACGAAGAAGCCCACGAGCACCUGCAACCCCGUCCAUCUCUCCUCCGCCCUGAGGCCCCUGUGCUCCAGCACGUCCCUCCCCUUCACCGCGCACUCCCCGUCGUCCCCCCACCCGAAGCACCUCUCCCCCGCGCAAGCGUACUCGUUCGCGAGCAUGGCGUCCAGGGCGUACUUGUACGGCGACAUGUAGUGCAUGAACACCCAGUACGCGGGCAUGCUCUCCUUCGUGAGGAAGUACCCGGAGAAGAGGAAGAACCCCGCGAGGGACACCGUGACCAGCGAGGUGCCCGCUAUGUAGUCGGGGGCGAAGGAGCUCACGAAGAGGACGAAGGAGUUGGCGGUGAGAACGACGGCCCAGACGAUGAGGACGAAGGUGGCGAACGCGGCGGGGGCGGCGCAGAGGCCGGCGAGGAAGUAGACGGUGGCGGAGUAGAGGAGGGCGACGGCGAGGAGGUAGGGGAGGAAGACGAGGGUCGAGGAGGCCUCGCGGAUGAGGAUGGGGCGCUCGCACACGAAGAUGGGGAGGGUCUCCGUGGUGGCGGAGAGGAGGAAGGUGAGGGUGAAGGCGAAGAGGCCGAGGCGCUUGCGCGCGCCGUCCUCGCCGUAGCCCGCGUUGAUGUAGAGGGUGCCGAGGAGGAGGCCCACGAGGAGCGCCUCCAGGAAGUUGGUGAGGAGGAGCUGCUUCGUGCGGUACACCACCUUCCACGAGCGGCCGUAGAGGGCCCCGAUCUCGCCGGCGCGGGAGCUCGAGUAGGCCGGGGUCUCCCACGUCGACGACGGCGAGGCCGGUUUGGUCUCCUCCUGCUUGCGGGGGAGGGAGACGGAAGGGGUAGUGGGCUUGGGGUGGGGGAGCUGGUGGAGCAGCUCCAUGGCGUACUCGAGGGGGUUGAGCUGGGCGGGGACGGAGAGGCCGAGGGAGAGGAGGUGGGCGUCGAGGGAGGCGAGGGAGCCGAAGUGGACGACGGAGCCCUUGGAGAGGAGGAGGAGGGAGUCGACGGAGGAGAGGAGGCGGGAGCUGGGCUGGUGGAUGGAGAGCACCACGGCGGCGGCGCGCGCUGCGGCGGCGGCGCGGAGGGUCUGGAGGACGAGGUGGGCGGAGGAGGAGUCGAGCCCCGAGGUGGGCUCGUCGAGGAGGAGCACCCCGGGGUCGCGGAGCAGCGCGAGCCCGAUGGAGACGCGGCGCCGCUCCCCCCCCGAGAGCCCGCCGGAGACGCGGGUGUGGGCGGCGUGGGAGAGGCGGAGGUCGCAGAGGAGGGAGGCGACCGCGUCAGCCGCGGUGGUGGAUUUGUUGCGGGGCGAGAGGAGGGAGGAGGCGAAGGCGAAGGUCUCGGAGACGGUGAGGAGCGGGAGGGAGGAGUCGAGCUGGGGGACGUGGGCGGAGAGCUUGCGGAAGGAGGCGGGGUGGAGGGGGAGGGAGUUGAGGAGGAGGAGGCCGUGGGAGGGGAGGGUGCGGGCCGACAGGAUGUCGAGGAGGGUGGACUUGCCGGCGCCGCUGGGGCCCACCACGGCCAGCAGCUCCCCCGGCCGGGCCGUCAGGGACACAUCGCGGAGGAUGUAGUCCGGGGGCGGGGCCGGCCGGCAGCACGGCCUCGUCAGGAGGAACCCGCUCAGAGACGGCGCGGCCGGCUUCGCGUAGUAGAUGGAGCACGCCGUCAGCUCGUAGGUUUUACGCGACGGCGGCAGUGACGACGGCGACGGCGACAGCGGUGAUUGCGGCGAUGGGGUUUGAUCGUCGUCGGCGGUGGUGGCGGCGGCCAUUAAUUUGAGAGUGGAAUGGUGGUGGCGGUGACGGUAGUCUCGGAAUGGGGGAAGGAAACGGUGGGUUGGAAAGAUGAGGAUGGUGGAAUUAAUGGUAGGGUAUUAUGGAAGGGAGGGAUAAUAUAGGGAGAGAACAUAUAACUGCAUGGUUUUUAUAAUUGCAUGGUAGGUAUGCGCCAUUCGACACAUGUGGGCCGAAUGAUGAACAAAGACGACUAAUUUUAUCAAAUUUUUUAUUAAUAUUAAAUAAAAAAAUUAAAUUCCUGUACGAAUAGUUCUAAUAUUUGCAUCCUCCAUUUGAAUAUAGAAGUAACAAUAUUUUCCGUAAUAAAAUAUUAAAUAAAAUAUUUAUAUAUUCAAACAAAGUGAGAAAAUUUUGUACACGAUAAACGCGCGCUAGGUCUAUAAUCUAUUUUAGUUUGUAAUUCUACAGCUCUUUUAAUAUAUCCCAACGGGCCUUAUUAUUUUCAUUUAGAAAAAAGUAAAAAAAGAUUAGUAAGUACUGGACCACUUGAAAGCAGGUUUAAAGGUUUAAUUAUAAAGAUUACGAUUUUAUUUUGUUACAGACAUUUUUUUUAACCCAGAAAAUAUGUAGUGAGUGUCUAUUAAUUGGUAAAAGCUCAGUGAUUAACUAACGUAAUAAGGGAACAAGUAAUUGAUUAACGUUGGGGCCAUGGGCGUGUCGUGGAGGACCACUCUACGUGCUCUUCCUUGUCUUAAAACAAAGACCCGAGUCCAUUCUCCCUAUUAGUGGCCACCACCAAAAGCCAUGCAUGAGUAUGAGGCAUGUGAGUGUGAGCCCCGAUCACUACAUUAUCGCCUCCCGUGAGUCCAUCCAUGAAGAGAGAGAGAGAGAGAGAGAGAGAGAGAGAGAGAGAGAGAGAGAGAGAGAAAGAGAGGAGGAGGUGGAUCCCACCUCNUUUUUCAGAAUGUAACAGUUACAUUACUCAUAUAGUAUUUUUAAUUAAUCAAAAAAAAUUUAAAAUUCACUAAUUUUAUCAUAAUUUUUUAAAAAUAUUAUUAUUAUAUUUAUUUUUACAAAGUAUAUAAUUUAAUUAAAACUAAAUGACAUAGUUUAAGUGUUAUAUACGUAGACUUCGCCUUUUUCUGAAGCAACGUACGCGGCGGAGUGGGAGGAGUCACGAGUCCACUGUAGCCGUUGGUCGUUUUAGUACCCCCCCUGAAAUGCACGAAAAUUCUUUCGGAGGAGAAGAGUUUCGGGGAAACGUGACUGUGAGAUGACACGUGGCACCAUUGAUGUUGAUGGAUAUUGACGGCCCAGAGGAGUCACUUUGGUACGUCUCGGUGUACCGCUGUUGACUGAUAUGGACAAUAGCUGUUGAAAUGCAUAGAAAGGCGAUUGUAUUAUAAGCAGGUAAAUUAUGGCCAAAAAUAUGUCAUAUACUUUUAAUAAAACAAUUUUAUUUCAGCCUUAUUUUGCAUAUUAAGAUAUAUGCAUUAGAUGUAUGCACUUCGCUAUGGUUAUUUCGCAUAAAAUUAAUAAUAUUUGAUUUAAUGCUUUCAUAUUACAUAAAAUAAAAAUGUAAAACAUCAUUUUUAAUGUUAAAAUUAUAAUAAUGUCCCUAAUUAGACCUUCUCAAUCUCUCUUGACAUUCUAUGAUUGGUAUGAAACAUUUUUUGUGUUAUAACUGUUAUAAAGAAGAUUAUUAUUUCCUUCAUAUGUGCCCACUAUUUUUGUGUUUUGAAAAUGUGCGGAGUAAAUGGAAGUUUCAAUGUAUAAGAGGUAUUACAAUUGAUGAGAUAAAUAAAUAGAUACAGGUGAAGCUGAAGUCGAAAUUAACAAAUAGAUACAUAAGAUGCGAUCGCAAUUAAUUAAUUGACUAGAUUUGGCCAUAUUCCUUUUGAGAAAUAGGUAACACGCUUUCCGUUUCGUUUAUUUCAUUUAGAAAUAAACUUAGCUGGAAAUGUGAAUCAACUAAGAUUCGAACUUGGGUCUCGAAUACCAACCAUCAAGCACUUUACCAUUUACUCUAGGGACGGUCGGUAGAUUUGGCCAUAUUUAGUAAAACUAAUCUACUGCUUUAUGCACCAUGCAUGAAUGCAUGAUUGGGCUUCUCAUCUUUUGUCUGAUACUUCGCAUACUGCAACCCAAUUUUAAAAUAUAUAAAAAAAGUAUUGGAACUUCAUGGAUGAUGGAGUUUUUUUUUUUUUUUGAUAGAAAAAUAACAUAUUAUACUUUUCGUUUAUUUUUUUUAGAAAUAAAUUUAACUAAAAAUAUGAAGUAACUAAGUUUCGAACUUGGGAACUCAGGUAUCAGAGUUAAAACAUCAAAAAUGAUGGGGAAAUAGAUGCUAUAAUGUCUAAAAAUAGGGAGGCAUUGGAUGUGGAUAAUCAUUUUUUCCUUUAAUAAAAAACAAAGGUAAACGUAAAGUGAAACAUUUAAAAAAAUUCAGAAUGUUAAAUAUUGAGGUCGAUUUCAGUUGAAAAUUCAACACUCCAGUUUAUCCAAAAUAAUUUUGAUAACAGGCCUCAAUCACCCUCUGGGCUCUAAGUUUCGGCCCAAAAAUUGUGGCUGCAGGACGCGGGCUUAGCAGCUAAAAGUGUGGACCAAGUGCCGGACGCGGGUUUCCAGAAGAAGUUGGGUGAUUAGAUAUAGUAAUCAUAAAUAAAGUGUAACUAAAGUAAUCAAAAAUAAAGUAGCAAAAGGGCUUGGUGGUUGGUACCCGAGACCCAAGUUCGAAUCCUACUUGAUUCGCAUUUCCAGCUGAGUUUAUUUCUAAAUGAAAUAAACGAAGCUGAUAGCAUACUACCUUUCUCUCUCUCUCUCUCAAAAAAAGAGUAGUUAUAGCUAAUCCUCCCAUUUAUGCUAAAACUUAAAAAAACAUCUACUUAUGCCUAAAUAUAAAGCCCAAUCUAACAAAAAAUAAAAGAUUACUCUACUCAACCCACCACACCCAGUCCAUUUGACCCGAUUAUAAACAGAAAAGGAAAAAAAAAGAAAAAUCAAUUACCAUCUUUUCUUUUCUCUUCACUCAAUCUACUGAAAUUGUAGACGAAGAGCCUUUCCUGUCGUCCUCCUCCGCCACCGCAGUCAACGAGAUAGAGUUUCGGCGGUUGCUAAAUGCUUAAAUAAGUGUUGGUAAAUUAGCAGCACUCUUUUAGGUUAUAACGACACUUUUUAACUGUCACUAUAUACCUACCGACCCCACAUAUAACAACACUUUUUAAAAGUGUCGGUAAUUUUAGCUAGCAGCACUUUUUUGACAUGUACCUAUAUUUAAAAGUGUCGCUAUAGACCGUUUUUAUUGUAGUGUUAAUUACUUUUCAUUUAUAGCCAAGUUCAUUUUCUGAAAAAUUCUUAUAAUAAAAAAAAUGCUGAAAUCUAAAAUACUCUUCAUCUCACCUCAACCUAUUUUUACUAAUUAAACCAAUUCUUGCUU
rnacentral:lncRNA from 1 species